GACGAACCGUGCGAACGUUAUUCGGAAUCACUGGGCUUAAAGCGCGUGUAGGCGGAUGGGUACGUCGGCAUCUGAAAGCCCCCGGCUCAACCGGGGAAGGGGACCCGAAACGCCCCGUCUGGAGGGACGUAGGGGGGCCUGGAACUUCCGGUGGAGCGGUGAAAUGCGUUGAGAUCGGAAGGAACGCCCGUGGCGAAAGCGAGGCCCUGGACGUCUGCUGACGCUGAGACGCGAAAGCUAGGGGAGCGAACGGG
rnacentral:rRNA from 1 species